GGGAGAAACCUGCCAGUCCUGCCUGACCACGGCCUGGGGCUGGGCCUCCUGGCGGGGGGGCGACUCCCGGGAGGAAGUCCCUGCUGCUCCCACCGGCCUCCUGCAGGCCGGUAGAGGGGUGGGAGUGCGACUGUGCCUGCCUUCCCCCCCAGGCUGUCUGUGGUCAUGGGCAGAUCAAAGCCCCUGGCCGCCCUCGGCAGGGAUGGACACAGCUCCUCAACACCUCAAAGCCAGCUCCCCAGCAUCCGGGACUAUUUCAGUUCCUGCCAUUCCGCUAAUCAAUGCCCAGACUCUGUGGUCAGUACAGGCUUUGCUAGAGCUCAGGAGGGAGGUCAGGAGGACCUGCCUUGUGUCAGGGGGCAUCUGGGAGGGGACGGCAGGCUGUGUCUGAGGUUGGGACUCAGCACAGAGCCCUCAGAGCCCCGCAGGAGCCCCGUCAGGGUGGGCCUGGCACUGCUUAGGCUCUCUGCCCUCACCAGAAUUAUGGGUGCUGCCUCUCCCCUCUGAGGUGUAAAAGCAGAAGCAGCUCAUGGCUUGCUGUAAGGACCCAGCGUGGCACCCAGCACAAAGGGUCUGACAUACAGCAAGUGCUCAAUAAAUGUUGGCCACUCUGAUGGUACAGCUGCCUCCUGCAGUUCUCCCUGAUGGAGCGUGGUCUCUGGGUGGGCCUCAGAGGGGCUGGGGAGUUGGAAUGCCUGGGCAGCUCCGGGACCCCUGGGUCUUUCCAAGGGACUGGUGGCUGGGUGUGGCUCGGGGAGGUGGUCUCGUUCAUGUGCCAGCCCCCACCGGGCUGGCUCUGUCACCCUACCUGUCUGUCUGAAGAGCCACGGGAGGGCCCCGACCUGUGGCCCUGCCCCACCUGGCCUCCCUGUGCUGGGCUCACGGGCCUGGGCCCUCCCAUGCUACUCUCCCCUGGAGCCCUCUCCUCCCACCUCCUGGAGCCCCAGAGGGAACCGAGGUUGAGCGGCUCCCUAUGCCUGGCUCAGCACCCCUGGCACCUCCCUUCUGGGAACCCAAGGUGCCCAAGGGGCACUCCCGUCGGCUGUGCCAUGCUCAGCAGC
rnacentral:lncRNA from 1 species